GACGAACGCUGGCGGCGUGCUUAACACAUGCGAGUCGAACGGAAAGGCCCUGCUUGCAGGGUACUCGAGUGGCGAACGGGUGAGUAACACGUGGGUGAUCUGCCCUGCACUUCGGGAUAAGCCUGGGAAACUGGGUCUAAUACCGGAUAGGAGCCAUUUUUAGUGUGAUGGUUGGAAAGUUUUUUCGGUGUAGGAUGAGCUCGCGGCCUAUCAGCUUGUUGGUGGGGUAAUGGCCUACCAAGGCGGCGACGGGUAGCCGGCCUGAGAGGGUGGACGGCCACAUUGGGACUGAGAUACGGCCCAGACUCCUACGGGAGGCAGCAGUGGGGAAUAUUGCACAAUGGGCGCAAGCCUGAUGCAGCGACGCCGCGUGGGGGAUGACGGCCCUCGGGUUGUAAACUCCUUUCGCUAGGGACGAAGCUUUUUGUGACGGUACCUAGAUAAGAAGCACCGGCUAACUACGUG
rnacentral:rRNA from 1 species